GAUGAACGCUGGCGGCGUGCCUAAUACAUGCAAGUCGAGCGAACAGACGAGGAGCUUGCUCCUCUGACGUUAGCGGCGGACGGGUGAGUAACACGUGGAUAACCUACCUAUAAGACUGGGAUAACUUCGGGAAACCGGAGCUAAUACCGGAUAAUAUAUUGAACCGCAUGGUUCAAUAGUAAAAGACGGUUUUGCUGUCACUUAUAGAUGGAUCCGCGCCGCAUUAGCUAGUUGGUAAGGUAACGGCUUACCAAGGCAACGAUGCGUAGCCGACCUGAGAGGGUGAUCGGCCACACGGGAACUGAGACACGGUCCAGACUCCUACGGGAGGCAGCAGUAGGGAAUCUUCCGCAAUGGGCGAAAGCCUGACGGAGCAACGCCGCGUGAGUGAUGAAGGUCUUCGGAUCGUAAAACUCUGUUAUUAGGGAAGAACAAAUGUGUAAGUAACUAUGCACGUCUUGACGGUACCUAAUCAGAAAGCCACGGCUAACUACGUG
rnacentral:rRNA from 1 species